rnacentral:rRNA from 1 species
UACGUAGGGGCUAGCGUUAUCCGGAAUUACUGGGCGUAAAGGGUGCGUAGGUGGUUUCUUAAGUCAGAGGUGAAAGGCUACGGCUCAACCGUAGUAAGCCUUUGAAACUGGGAAACUUGAGUGCAGGAGAGGAGAGUGGAAUUCCUAGUGUAGCGGUGAAAUGCGUAGAUAUUAGGAGGAACACCAGUUGCGAAGGCGGCUCUCUGGACUGUAACUGACACUGAGGCACGAAAGCGUGGGGAGCAAACAGGAUUAGAUACCCUGGUAGUCCCUGAGCGGG